GUGAGCCACCACACCCAGCCUUGAGUUGUAGGAGUUCUUUAUAGAUUCUGGAUACAGUCCUUUAUCAGAUACAUGAUUUGCAAAUAUUUUCUCCCUUCUUUGAGUUGGUUGUCCUUGCACUUUCUUGAACAUUUUAAUUUUUAUGAAGUCCAAUUAAUCUGUGUGUGUGUGUGUGUGUGUGUGUGUGUGUGUGUGUGUGUGUGUGUGUAUUGAACAUAUGAUCUCUUCCUCUGGAAAGAUCAUUAAAUCCAAAUAGGGAAAUGGAGACUUUCCAAGGAAUGUCAAGAGCAGGUGAAAAGAAAACAUUUUGCCAUAGAUAUUUAGAAUAAGUGAGAUAGAUCCGAUAGGAAUGAAGAAGUGCCAUGAUUUACUUCUAUUUCUUCACUGUGUGGCUGACUGAAAACAGUCACUAGCCACAUCUGUCUACUUCAGAUUAAAUUAAUUGGCCAGGUGCUGACUCAUCCCUGUACUCCCAGCACUUUGGGAGGCCGAGGUGGGUAGAUUGCUUGAGACCAGGAGUUCAAGAACAGCCUGGCCAACAUGGUAAAACCCUGUCUCU